GACGAACGUUGGCGGCGUGCUUAAUACAUGCAAGUCAACUGAAGCAGUGGUAGCAAUAUCGCUGUGGAGGUGGCGCACGGGUGAGUAACACGUAGGUAAUCUGCCUUCAGGUCUGGCAUAACUCCGGGAAACCGGGGCUAAUAGCAGAUGAUGCAGCGGCUCGACAUCGAGACAGUUGUUAAAGCUAUGGCGCCUGAAGAUGAGCCUGCGUCUGAUUAGCUAGUUGGCGGGGUAACGGCCCACCAAGGCAACGAUCAGUAGCUGGUCUGAGAGGAUGAUCAGCCACACUGGAACUGAGACACGGUCCAGACUCCUACGGGAGGCAGCAGUAAGGAAUAUUGCUCAAUGGGAGAAAUCCUGAAGCAGCAACGCCGCGUGAGGGACGAAGGGCUUUUGCUUGUAAACCUCUGUAGUGAGAGAAAAAAAUCCCAAUCUUUGGGACAUGAUGGUAUCUCAAAAGUAAGCCUCGGCUAACUACGUG
rnacentral:rRNA from 1 species